rnacentral:rRNA from 1 species
UACGUAGGGUGCGAGCGUUGUCCGGAAUUAUUGGGCGUAAAGAGCUCGUAGGCGGUUUGUCGCGUCGACUGUGAAAACCCGAGGCUUAACCUCGGGCCUGCAGUCGAUACGGGCAGACUAGAGUCGGUAGGGGAGACUGGAAUUCCUGGUGUAGCGGUGAAAUGCGCAGAUAUCAGGAGGAACACCGGUGGCGAAGGCGGUUCUCUGGGCCGAAACUGACGCUGAGGAGCGAAAGCGUGGGGAGCGAACAGG